GGGGCGUGGCCAGCGCCCGCGAGAGGCCGGUCCCCAGCACAGACCCGCGCGCUCGGGAACCCGGGCUGUGGGCCGUCCGGCCCGAGGGCCCCCGGAGGGCUGUCUGCGGCCUCACAGGCUAGGCCGAGCUGGGAUAUCUCAGGAUUGGGCUGGAUCUGCUAGAAUUAUAGAGUGGAGAAGCCUCUCAGUGCCUGCUCGAGGGAGACCUCUGGGAGAAAUGAAAGGACCUUUUUCUCAUCUUCAAUGCAAGGCUCACUCUAUUUUCAACUUCUUCAGAGGAAUGGGAUUUUAAACCUAUCAGUCUGGAGUUUCCUGGUCAGCACUUGUGAGGUCAUCUACCUGAUAAAACCACCUGUCUCCCCUUAAGGGAAGAUACCCUUGCCUGAAAUAAUCCAGUCUUUAAACUUCCUUGUCCCACCCUCCUUCUACCUAUAAAAAUCUUCCAUUUUGUAUAACUCCUUGGAGCUUUCUUAUAUUUGCUGGAUGAAAUGCUACCUAAUUCAAUAAUUGUUGAAUAAAGCCAAUUAGAUCUUUACUCAGUUGAAUUUUGUUUAACACUGGUUUAUUAUAAAAGAUAUAAUUUAGGAACACUCAUAUGGAAGAUACACAUAGGGCAAGGUAUGGGGGGAAGGGACACAGAGCUUCCGUGCCCUCUCUAGGCACAACCCCCUCCCAGCACCUGGAUGUGUUCGGUAACCCAUAAGUUCUCCAAACCCUUUUGGUUAGGGUUUUUUUUUUUAAUGGAGGCUUCAUUACAUAGCAUGACUUAUUAAAUAAUCAGCCAUUAUUUAUUAAAUAAUUGGUGACUGAACUCAAUCUCAGCCCCUCUCUCCUCCCUAAAGAUGGUGGGUUAGGGUUAAAGGUUUGAACCCUGGAAUCAUACAGGUUCCCCUGGCAACCAGCCCCUACCCUUAGGGGCUUUCCAAAAGUCAC